rnacentral:rRNA from 1 species
GAGUUUGAUCCUGGCUCAGAGUGAACGCUGGCGGCAUGGCUAAAGCAUGCAAGUCGAACGAGAACCACUUCGGUGGUGAAAGUGGCGGACGGGCGAGUAAUGCAUUUCUACGUGCCCCGAGGUGGGGGAUAGCCAGGGGAAACCCUGGGUAAUACCCCAUGUGCUCCCAGGAGGAAAGCUUCGGCGCCUCGGGAUCGGGAAAUGUCCUAUCAGGUAGUCGGCGGGGUAACGGCCCACCAAGCCGAAGACGGGUAGCCGGUGUGAGAGCACGACCGGCCGCAUCGGGACUGAGACACUGCCCGGACUCCUACGGGAGGCUGCAGCAACGAAUCUUCCGCAAUGCACGAAAGUGUGACGGAGCAAUGCCGCGUGCGGGAUGAAGCGGCUCCGCCGUGUAAACCGCUGUCAGGACCUAGGAAUAUUGACCGGGUCCAGAGGAAGGGCCGGCUAAUCUCGUGCCAGCAGCCGCGGUAAUACGAGAGGCCCGAGCGUUACUCGGAAUCACUGGGCUUAAAGGGUGCGUAGGCGGAGGUGUAGGCGUCCUGUGAAAUCCCACGGCUCAACCGUGGAAUUGCGGGGCGAACCACACUUCUUGAACCUGGUAAGGGCUGUCGGAACGAUCGGUGGAGCGGUGAAAUGCGUAGAUAUCGAUCGGAACGCCGAAGGUGAAGGCGGCCAUCUGGACCAGUACUGACGCUGAGGCACGAAAGCGUGGGGAGCAAACAGGAUUAGAUACCCUGGUAGUCCACGCCCUAAACUAUGCGAACUGGAUGUUGGGCACACUUAGGUGCUCAGUGUCGAAGCUAACGCGUUAAGUUCGCCGCCUGGGGAGUACGGUCGCAAGACUGAAACUCAAGGGAAUUGACGGGGGCCCGCACAAGCGGUGGAGUAUGUGGUUUAAUUCGAUGCAACGCGAAGAACCUUACCUGGCCUUGACAUGUCCGGAAUCCUGCAGAGAUGCGGGAGUGCCUUCGGGAAUCGGAACACAGGUGCUGCAUGGCUGUCGUCAGCUCGUGUCGUGAGAUGUUGGGUUAAGUCCCGCAACGAGCGCAACCCUUGUCCUUAGUUGCCAGCACGUAAUGGCGGGGACUCUAGUGAGACUGCCGGUGUCAAACCGGAGGAAGGUGGGGAUGACGUCAAGUCCUCAUGGCCCUUAUGCCUAGGGCUGCAAACGUGCUACAAUGGCGUGGACAGAGCGAAGCGAGGCCGCGAGGCGGAGCAAAUCGCAAAAACCACGCCCCAGUUCAGAUUGCAGUCUGCAACUCGACUGCAUGAAGUUGGAAUCGCUAGUAAUCGGGGAUCAGCUACGCCCCGGUGAAUAUGUUCCUGAGCCUUGUACACACCGCCCGUCAAGUCAUGGAAGCCGGGAGUGCCCGAAGUCGCUAUAUUUCAAUAGUGCCCACGGCAAGCUCGGUGACUGGGACUAAGUCGUAACAAGGUAACCGUA